UCCAGACUCCUACGGGAGGCAGCAGUGGGGGAUAUUGCACAAUGGGGGAAACCCUGAUGCAGCAACGCCGCGUGAGUGAAGAAGGUCUUCGGAUUGUAAAGCUCUGUUCUUGGUGAAGAUAAUGACGGUAGCCAAGGAGAAAGCUCCGGCUAACUACGUGCCAGCAGCCGCGGUAAUACGUAGGGAGCGAGCGUUGUCCGGAAUUACUGGGUGUAAAGGGAGCGCAGGCGGACUGUCAAGUUGGGAGUGAAAACUACGGGCUCAACCCGUAACUUGCUUUCAAAACUGGCGGUCUUGAGUGGUGUAGAGGUAGGCGGAAUUCCCGGUGUAGCGGUGGAAUGCGUAGAUAUCGGGAGGAACACCAGUGGCGAAGGCGGCCUGCUGGACGAUGACUGACGUUGAGGCUCGAAAGCGUGGGGAGCAAACAGGAUUAGAUACCCCCGUAG
rnacentral:rRNA from 1 species